AGUCGACGAACUUCUUUAUCACCGAGUGCUUGCACUCACCGAUAAAGAGUUUAGUGGCGAACGGGUGAGUAACACGUGGGCAACCUGCCCAAAAGAGGGGGAUAACACUUGGAAACAGGUGCUAAUACCGCAUAACCAUAGUUACCGCAUGGUAACUAUGUAAAAGGUGGCUAUACUACCGCUUUUGGAUGGGCCCGCGGCGCAUUAGCUAGUUGGUAGGGUAAAGGCUUACCAAGGCAAUGAUGCGUAGCCGAAUUGAGAGGUUGAUCGGCCACAUUGGGACUGAGACACGGCCCAAACUCCUACGGGAGGCAGCAGUAGGGAAUCUUCCACAAUGGGCGAAAGCCUGAUGGAGCAACGCCGCGUGGGUGAAGAAGGUCUUCGGGUCGUAAAACCCUGUUGUUAGAGAAGAAAGUGCGUGAGAGUAACUGUUCACGUUUCGACGGUAUCUAACCAGAAAGCCACGGCUAACUACGUGCCAGCAGCCGCGGUAAUACGUAGGUGGCAAGCGUUAUCCGGAUUUAUUGGGCGUAAAGGGAACGCAGGCGGUCUUUUAAGUCUGAUGUGAAAGCCUUCGGCUUAACCGGAGUAGUGCAUUGGAAACUGGGAGACUUGAGUGCAGAAGAGGAGAGUGGAACUCCAUGUGUAGCGGUGAAGUGCGUAGAUAUAUGGAAGAACACCAGUGGCGAAAGCGGCUCUCUGGUCUGUAACUGACGCUGAGGUUCGAAAGCGUGGGUAGCAAACAGG
rnacentral:rRNA from 1 species